AUAACGGUCCUAAGGUAGCGAAAUUCCUUGUCGGGUAAGUUCCGACCCGCACGAAUGGUGUAACGAUCUGGGCACUGUCUCAACUACCCACCCGGCGAAAUUGUAGUACCGGUGAAGAUGCCGGUUACCUGCGGCAAGACGGAAAGACCCCAUGGAGCUUUACUGUAGCCUGAUAUUGGGUUUCGGAAAUCUAUGUACAGGAUAGGCGGGAGACUGGGAAGUAUGAGCGUCAGCUUAUACGGAGUCGUUGUUGGGAUACCGCCCUUAGGUUUCUGGAAUUCUAACCUGCGACCGUGAAUCCGGUCGGGGGACAUUGUCAGGUGGGCAGUUUGACUGGGGCGGUCGCCUCCGAAAAGGUAACGGAGGCGCUCAAAGGUUGGCUCAGCACGGACGGAAACCGUGCCUCAGAGUGUAAACGCAAAAGCCAGCCUAACUGCGAGGAUGACGGUCCGAGCAGUAACGAAAGUUGGAGUUAGUGAUCCGGCGGUAUGUGAAUGGAAAUGCCGUCGCUCAACGGAUAAAAGCUACCCUGGGGAUAACAGGCUGAUCUCCCCCAAGAGUCCACAUCGACGGGGAGGUUUGGCACCUCGAUGUCGGCUCAUCGCAUCCUGGGGCUGAAUUCGGUCCCAAGGGUUUGGCUGUUCGCCAAUUAAAGCGGUACGCGAGCUGGGUUCAGAACGUCGUGAGACAGUUCGGUCCCUAUCUGUCGUGGGCGUAGGAUAUUUGAAAGGAGCUGUCCCUAGUACGAGAGGACCGGGAUGGACGCACCUCUGGUGCACCAGUUGUCACGCCAGUGGCACAGCUGGGCAGCUAUGUGCGGAACGGAUAAACGCUGAAGGCAUCUAAGCGUGAAGCCGCCCUUAAGAUAAGAUAUCCCUUCUGUUUACAGAGUAAGACCCCUUGAAGACUACAAGGUUGAUAGGCUCAAAGUGUAAGCACGGUGACGUGUUUAGCUAGCGAGUACUAAUCGGUCGAGGGCUUAACCU
rnacentral:rRNA from 1 species